rnacentral:rRNA from 1 species
GACGAACGCUGGCGGCGUGCCUAAUACAUGCAAGUAGAACGCUGAAGAGAGGAGCUUGCUCUUCUUGGAUGAGUUGCGAACGGGUGAGUAACGCGUAGGUAACCUGCCUGGUAGCGGGGGAUAACUAUUGGAAACGAUAGCUAAUACCGCAUAAAAUUGAUUAUUGCAUGAUAAUUAAUUGAAAGAUGCAAUUGCAUCACUACCAGAUGGACCUGCGUUGUAUUAGCUAGUUGGUGAGGUAACGGCUCACCAAGGCGACGAUACAUAGCCGACCUGAGAGGGUGAUCGGCCACACUGGGACUGAGACACGGCCCAGACUCCUACGGGAGGCAGCAGUAGGGAAUCUUCGGCAAUGGGGGGAACCCUGACCGAGCAACGCCGCGUGAGUGAAGAAGGUUUUCGGAUCGUAAGGCUCUGUUGUAAGAGAAGAACGGGUGUGAGAGUGGAAAGUUCACACUGUGACGGUAUCUUACCAGAAAGGGACGGCUAACUACGUGCCAGCAGCCGCGGUAAUACGUAGGUCCCGAGCGUUGUCCGGAUUUAUUGGGCGUAAAGCGAGCGCAGGCGGUUAGAUAAGUCUGAAGUUAAAGGCUGUGGCUUAACCAUAGUAUGCUUUGGAAACUGUUUAACUUGAGUGCAGAAGGGGAGAGUGGAAUUCCAUGUGUAGCGGUGAAAUGCGUAGAUAUAUGGAGGAACACCGGUGGCGAAAGCGGCUCUCUGGUCUGUAACUGACGCUGAGGCUCGAAAGCGUGGGGAGCAAACAGGGUUAGAUACCCUGGUAGUCCACGCCGUAAACGAUGAGUGCUAGGUGUUAGGCCCUUUCCGGGGCUUAGUGCCGCAGCUAACGCAUUAAGCACUCCGCCUGGGGAGUACGACCGCAAGGUUGAAACUCAAAGGAAUUGACGGGGGCCCGCACAAGCGGUGGAGCAUGUGGUUUAAUUCGAAGCAACGCGAAGAACCUUACCAGGUCUUGACAUCCCUCUGACCGCUCUAGAGAUAGAGUUUUCCUUCGGGACAGAGGUGACAGGUGGUGCAUGGUUGUCGUCAGCUCGUGUCGUGAGAUGUUGGGUUAAGUCCCGCAACGAGCGCAACCCCUAUUGUUAGUUGCCAUCAUUCAGUUGGGCACUCUAGCGAGACUGCCGGUAAUAAACCGGAGGAAGGUGGGGAUGACGUCAAAUCAUCAUGCCCCUUAUGACCUGGGCUACACACGUGCUACAAUGGCUGGUACAACGAGUCGCAAGCCGGUGACGGCAAGCUAAUCUCUGAAAGCCAGUCUCAGUUCGGAUUGUAGGCUGCAACUCGCCUACAUGAAGUCGGAAUCGCUAGUAAUCGCGGAUCAGCACGCCGCGGUGAAUACGUUCCCGGGCCU